rnacentral:rRNA from 1 species
AAUGAACGCUGGCGGCGUGCCUAACACAUGCAAGUCGAGCGGUAAGGCCCCUUCGGGGGUACACGAGCGGCGAACGGGUGAGUAACGCGUGGGUAACCUACCCAGAAGUGGGGGAUAGCCUCGGGAAACCGGGGGUAAUACCGCAUGAGCCACAUUCGACGAGAGUCGGCUGUGGGAAAGGCGGGGAUCCUUCGGGACCUGUCGCUUCUGGAUGGGCCCGCGUCCGAUUAGCUUGUUGGUGGGGUAAUGGCCUACCAAGGCUGCGAUCGGUAGCCGGCCUGAGAGGGUGAACGGCCACAUUGGGACUGAGACACGGCCCAGACUCCUACGGGAGGCAGCAGUGGGGAAUUUUGGGCAAUGGGCGCAAGCCUGACCCAGCGACGCCGCGUGGAGGAUGAAGGCCCUCGGGUUGUAAACUCCUGUCAGGUGGGAAGAAAUGCCUGUCGGUUAAUAGCCGACAGGAGUUGACGGUACCACCAAAGGAAGCCCCGGCUAACUCCGUG